rnacentral:rRNA from 1 species
GUGCCAGCCGCCGCGGUAAUACGGAGGGUGCGAGCGUUAAUCGGAAUUACUGGGCGUAAAGGGCACGCAGGCGGUUAAUUAAGUUGGAUGUGAAAUCCCCGGGCUUAACCUGGGAAUGGCAUUCAAGACUGGUUAGCUAGAGUCUUGUAGAGGGGGGUAGAAUUCCAUGUGUAGCGGUGAAAUGCGUAGAGAUGUGGAGGAAUACCGGUGGCGAAGGCGGCCCCCUGGACAAAGACUGACGCUCAUGUGCGAAAGCGUGGGGAGCAAACAGGAUUAGAUACCCUGGUAGUCCACGCUGUAAACGAUGUCGAUUUGGAGGUUGUGGUCAAGAACUGUGGCCUCCGGAGCUAACGCGUUAAAUCGACCGCCUGGGGAGUACGGCCGCAAGGUUAAAACUCAAAGGAAUUGACGG